GAUGAACGCUGGCGGCGUGCCUAAUACAUGCAAGUCGAGCGAACAGAUGGGGAGCUUGCUCCUCUGACGUUAGCGGCGGACGGGUGAGUAACACGUGGAUAACCUACCUAUAAGACUGGGAUAACUUCGGGAAACCGGAGCUAAUACCGGAUAAUAUAUUGAACCGCAUGGUUCAAUAGUGAAAGACGGUUUUGCUGUCACUUAUAGAUGGAUCCGCGCCGCAUUAGCUAGUUGGUAAGGUAACGGCUUACCAAGGCAACGAUGCGUAGCCGACCUGAGAGGGUGAUCGGCCACACUGGAACUGAGACACGGUCCAGACUCCUACGGGAGGCAGCAGUAGGGAAUCUUCCGCAAUGGGCGAAAGCCUGACAGAGCAACGCCGCGUGAGUGAUGAAGGUCUUCGGAUCGUAAAACUCUGUUAUUAGGGAAGAACAAAUGUGUAAGUAACUAUGCACGUCUUGACGGUACCUAAUCAGAAAGCCACGGCUAACUACGUG
rnacentral:rRNA from 1 species